rnacentral:piRNA from 1 species
CCUCUGAGACUACCACUGCAGUU